UGCAAGUGAUGUGAAUGAAUAUUUGCUAUCUGAACAGCCAUGCUGACCUUUUCCACCAAGAUCACUGAUGUA
ensembl:snoRNA SNORD24 Small nucleolar RNA SNORD24